rnacentral:rRNA from 1 species
GACGAACGCUGGCGGCGUGCUUAACACAUGCAAGUCGAGCGGAGCGGCGAACGGGUGAGUAACGCGUGAGUAACUGCCCCCCUCUCUGGGAUAACAGUUGGAAACGGCUGCUAAUACCGGAUAGUUGGGGAUGACUUGCGUCCUAUCAGCUUGUUGGUGGGGUAGUGGCCUACCAAGGCGACGACGGGUAGCCGGCCUGAGAGGGGGCCCGGCCACAUUGGGCUGAGAUACGGCCCAAACGCCUACGGGAGGCAGCAGUGGGGAAGAGUGCACGAUGGUGGGAAACCUGAUGCAGCAACGCCGCGUGCGGGAUGACGGCGGUCGGGUUGUAACCCGCUUUCAGCCAUGACGCGGUAGUGGCAGAAGAAGCACCGGCUAACUACGUGCCAGCAGCCGCGGUAAUAC